AUUCUGGCUGUACACCGCCCUGAGUCCUUCGGGAGAAGGGCGGUAUAGAAAUUUAAUAAAAUAAAUAAAUAAAUAAAUACCUAUGGACCUACUGAAGCCAAAGAAUGUGGCUAACUAAACCUAGUCCUAAACUAACUUUAGUCAGAGGACACGUUACAACUGAGUGUGUUCUCUGAGAGCCCUACAAGUGAAAAUGGAAGAAAGGCAGUCAAGGGCUGAUCCCUUAGAAGAGGUUUUUUCAACUAGUCUUCUAAUGGUUUUUGUUCUAAUUUGAAUUUUCUUCUUCCCUUUCUCCCACUUCCAAAACCUGCCUCUCUUUGUAUUUAAAUCUCAGAUCAUCUCAACCAAACCAGCAAUUUACAUAAGAUUGGAGCCGAUCCAAAUUCCCCUAGCAAAUAAAGGCAUUUCAAACAGGUAGAGGAAUGUGGGCAAGUGGAAGAAACCAGUAGUCAUAUGGUAGGACUAACUCUAGAGUAAUUGUCUCUUUUUCCAUGGCAAUAAAUACUAUCCACAGGCUCUUUCCUGUAAGCAAUUACUCUCUUUCUUGGCUCACAAGUGUUUUUUAAGAUUUUUAACAGCAGGCAUGCAUGCAAGGCGAUGUUCAAAAAUAGGUUAUUCUGCACAUGGCUUUCAUCUUUCAUGGAGUUUCAUUGCACCUUUCUAAUGGGAAAAAAGAGGGCUAUCAAAGACUUGAAGUCGAAAGCGAUCAAUAAAGUAGCCAUGUCUAUAUAUAGAUUCUCUCCCUUCUGCUCCCACUCAUGCCUGCAUGCAGUCUUCCAGGGUGUCAUUAAAAUAAAUGGAAGCGUUCAAAGCUUUGUAUUCAGGAUAAUAAUAAGCCCUUUUUGAUAAUCACAUGCACACACAUACGCACAAAUAGGAAAGGACACUGGUGUCUCAAUGAGAUUAUGCACUUUGGACUAAAUCUUGAGGCAGAGUGGAUCAGCUCUCUAUGAUUUUGUGAAAAUCAUAGAGAGCAAAUCAUAGAGAGCAAAAUAAGUAUUGACUGUUUACUUCAUAGUUCUCGAGAGAAAAAAGAGACAUUAUAGAGAAACAAAGAAGAAGUAGAUCAGGCUUAAACCUUUAUCUCUAAAGCGUGCCUCCUGUAUUAAGGAAAGGAAACCCUAUCCAGACAUCGUAAUAGGAAUGGCUCCACUUCUUCUGUCAUAAAUCUGAACAUGUAGAAAGAAGACUUAUUGGUGAAUUUAACAGUAUUUUUCGUUGAAGUGGCAGUUGCUAACCAUUACACCAGUAUUUAUUUGAUUCUUAAAGAGCACAAAAGCAUGGACUACAAAUAAAGAAGAUGGAGUAAUAGCUUUUGACUGGGCCACUAGCUUUAAACUUGAAAUGAAGUGUCCAGUUUUGAGUUACUGUGUCCAAAUGCCAUUUGUACAGUUUGAAAAGUGGGGGCAUUUUUCCAGCUUGUCACUGUUAGCUGUAGUUCAUUCCUAUGAAUGAUGUCACUGAAGGAGCACGUUGUGCUGCUAUAAGUACUUCACUCAUGACUGGAAUGUAUUAAAUGUAUUAAUCUGUGCCUUUGACUUUAAUUUAGGGAAGCCCUACGUUUGACACAUUCUUCUACAACUUUGUUUUAUGGCCAUCUCCUGCAGAUAACCAUGGCUCAGAAGCAAAGUGACUGAAUGAAGUUAAAGGGUCGCAAACCAUCCUAUGAACAUCUCUUGUUUAUUUCACUGUCAAAAUGUGUCACUAUGAAUACAAGGCUUAAACAUGCAGAGAUAAACACACAGAUCCUGAACAAACAGUGCCACUAACAGAAAAUAAAGACAUGGAUAUAACAUUCACAGAUAAAACACAAGGAACAUUUUGAUGGGACCUAAUGAAUAAAACUGGAGCGGCUCCUUUUUUUUGUUGGUACUGAGAACUGGAUUUCUUAAG